rnacentral:rRNA from 1 species
GACGAACGCUGGCGGCGUGCCUAAUACAUGCAAGUAGGACGCAGUUGCGAACGGGUGAGUAACGCGUAGGUAACUACCUAUUAGAGGGGGAUAACUCUUGGAAACGCUAGCUAAUACCGCAUACUAGUAGAUGGACCUGCGUUGUAUUAUCUAGUAGGUAGGGUAAUGGCCUACCUAGGCCACGGUACAUAGCCGAACCGCGAGGGUGAUCGGCCAAACUGGGACUGAGGCACGGCCCAGACUCCGACGGGAGGCAGCAGUAGGGAAUCUUCGGCAAUGGGGGGAACCCUGAACGAGCAAAGCCGCGGUAGUGGAGAAGGUUUUCGGAUCGUAAAGGUCUUUUGUUAAGGAAGCGGUACUUAACCAGAAAGCGACGGCUAACUACGUGCCAGCAGCCGCGGUAAUAC